AGCGAACAAGUAGAGUGAUCGAAAGAUGAAAAGCACUUUGAAAAGAGAGUUAAAAAGCACGUGAAAUUGUUGAAAGGGAAGCGCUUGCGACCAGACUACGCCUCCAGGGUUCAGCCGGCAUUCGUGCCGGUGUACUAUCCCUGGGGGCGGGCCAGCGUCGGUUUGGGCGGCCGGUCAAAGGCUACCCGGAAUGUAGUGCCCUCCGGGGCACCUAUAUAGCCGGGAGU
rnacentral:rRNA from 1 species